rnacentral:rRNA from 1 species
CACGUAGGGCGCAAGCGUUGUCCGGAAUUAUUGGGCGUAAAGAGCUCGUAGGCGGUCUGUUGCGUCUGCUGUGAAAACCCGGGGCUUAACCCCUGGCUUGCAGUGGAUACGGACAGACUAGAGGUAGGUAGGGGAGAAUGGAAUUCCCGGUGUAGCGGUGAAAUGCGCAGAUAUCGGGAGGAACACCGGUGGCGAAGGCGGGUCUCUGGGCCGAUACUGACGCUGAGGAGCGAAAGCGUGGGGAGCGAACAGG